rnacentral:rRNA from 1 species
GAAUAUUGCACAAUGGGGGAAACCCUGAUGCAGCGACGCCGCGUGAGUGAAGAAGUAUUUCGGUAUGUAAAGCUCUAUCAGCAGGGACGAUAAUGACGGUACCUGACUAAGAAGCCCCGGCUAACUACGUGCCAGCAGCCGAGGUAAUACGUAGGGGGCAAGCGUUAUCCGGAUUUACUGGGUGUAAAGGGAGCGUAGACGAUGAUGUAAGUCAGAUGUGAAAGCCUAGGGCUCAACCCUGGGACUGCAUUUGAAACUAUGUUGCUAGAGUGCAGGAGAGGUAAGUGGAAUUCCUAGUGUAGCGGUGAAAUGCGUAGAUAUUAGGAGGAACACCAGUGGCGAAGGCGGCUUACUGGACUGUAACUGACGUUGAGGCUCGAAAGCGUGGGGAGCAAACAG